UAGGGAAUCUUCCACAAUGGACGCAAGUCUGAUGGAGCAACGCCGCGUGAGUGAAGAAGGUUUUCGGACCGUAAAGCUCUGUUGUUGGUGAAGAAGGAUAGAGGUAGUAACUGGCCUUUAUUUGACGGUAAUCAACCAGAAAGUCACGGCUAACUACGUGCCAGCAGCCGCGGUAAUACGUAGGUGGCAAGCGUUGUCCGGAUUUAUUGGGCGUAAAGCGAGCGCAGGCGGAAGAAUAAGUCUGAUGUGAAAGCCCUCGGCUUAACCGAGGAAUUGCAUCGGAAACUGUUUUCUUGAGUGCAGAAGAGGAGAGUAGAACUCCAUGUGUAGCGGUGGAAUGCGUAGAUAUAUGGAAGAAUACCAGUGGCGAAGGCGGCUCUCUGGUCUGCAACUGACGCUGGAGCUACGAAAGCAUGGGUAGCGAACAGGAUUAGAUACCCUGGUAGUCCAUGCCGUAAACGAUGAGUGCUAAGUGUUGGGAGGCUUCCGCCUCUCAGUGCUGCAGCUAACGCAUUAAGCACUCCGCCUGGGGGAGUACGACCGCAAGGUUGAA
rnacentral:rRNA from 1 species